rnacentral:rRNA from 1 species
UACGUAGGGAGCAAGCGUUGUCCGGAAUCAUUGGGCGUAAAGCGCGCGUAGGCGGCCUUGUAAGUCCGUUGUGAAAGUCAAAGGCUCAACCUUUGAAAGCCGAUGGAUACUGCAGGGCUAGAGUCCGGAAGAGGCGAGUGGAAUUCCUGGUGUAGCGGUGGAAUGCGCAGAUAUCAGGAGGAACACCAAUAGCGAAGGCAGCUCGCUGGGACGGUACUGACGCUAAGGCGCGAAAGCGUGGGGAGCGAACAGG